rnacentral:rRNA from 1 species
GAUGAACGCUGACAGAAUGCUUAACACAUGCAAGUCGAUUCAAGUUACCUUCGGGUAAUGAGGAUGGCGGACGGGUGAGUAACGCGUAAGGAACUUGCCUCUUGGUCUGGGACAACUGUUGGAAACGACAGCUAAUACCGGAUAUUAUGAGAUCCUCGCAUGGGAAACUUAUGAAAGCUAUAUGCGCCAAGAGAGAGCCUUGCGUUCCAUUAGCUAGUUGGUGGGGUAAUGGCCCACCAAGGCGACGAUGGAUAGCCGGCCUGAGAGGGUGAACGGCCACAAGGGGACUGAGACACGGCCCUUACUCCUACGGGAGGCAGCAGUGGGGAAUAUUGGANNAUGGGNNNNNAGCCUGAUCCAGCAAUUCUGUGUGCACGAUGAAGGUCUUCGGAUUGUAAAGUGCUUUCAGUUGGGAAGAAGAAAGUGACGGUACCAACAGAAGAAGCGACGGCUAAAUACGUGCCAGCAGCCGCGGUAAUACGUAUGUCGCAAGCGUUAUCCGGAUUUAUUGGGCGUAAAGCGCGUCUAGGCGGAAAAAUAAGUCUGAUGUUAAAAUGCGGGGCUCAACUCCGUAUUGCGUUGGAAACUGUUUUUCUAGAGUACUGGANAGGUGGGCGGAACUACAAGUGUAGAGGUGAAAUUCGUAGA